AGUGAACGCUGGCGAUAGGCCUAACACAUGCGAGUCGAACGGCAGCACAGUAAGAGCUUGCUCUUACGGGUGGCGAGUGGCGGACGGGUGAGGAAUACAUCGGAAUCUACUUUUUCGUGGGGGAUAACGUAGGGAAACUUACGCUAAUACCGCAUACGACCUACGGGUGAAAGCAGGGGAUCUUCGGACCUUGCGCGAUUGAAUGAGCCGAUGUCGGAUUAGCUAGUUGGCGGGGUAAAGGCCCACCAAGGCGACGAUCCGUAGCUGGUCUGAGAGGAUGAUCAGCCACACUGGAACUGAGACACGGUCCAGACUCCUACGGGAGGCAGCAGUGGGGAAUAUUGGACAAUGGGCGCAAGCCUGAUCCAGCCAUACCGCGUGGGUGAAGAAGGCCUUCGGGUUGUAAAGCCCUUUUGUUGGGAAAGAAAAGCAGCAGGUUAAUACCCCGCUGUUCUGACGGUACCCAAAGAAUAAGCACCGGCUAACUUCGU
rnacentral:rRNA from 1 species